rnacentral:rRNA from 1 species
UACAGAGGUCUCAAGCGUUGUUCGGAUUCACUGGGCGUAAAGGGCUCGUAGGUGGCCAACUAAGUCAGACGUGAAAUCCCUCGGCUUAACCGGGGAACUGCGUCUGAUACUGGAUGGCUUGAGUUUGGGAGAGGGACGCGGAAUUCCAGGUGUAGCGGUGAAAUGCGUAGAUAUCUGGAGGAACACCGGUGGCGAAGGCGGCGUCCUGGACCAACACUGACACUGAUGAGCGAAAGCCAGGGGAGCAAACGGG